CUGCUCAGCGGUUGAGCACUCGCUUCACAAGCGAUAGGUCGGUGGUUCGAUCCCACCAGGG
rnacentral:tRNA from 1 species